UCCCUUGUGGCUCAGCUGGUAGAGAAUCUGCCUGCAAGGCAGGAGACCUGGGUUCGAUCCCUGGGUUGGGAA
rnacentral:tRNA from 1 species